UUGAUCAUGGYUCAGAUUGAACGCUGGCGGCAGGCCUAACACAUGCAAGUCGAGCGGAUGAAGGGAGCUUGCUCCUGGAUUCAGCGGCGGACGGGUGAGUAAUGCCUAGGAAUCUGCCUGGUAGUGGGGGAUAACGUCCGGAAACGGGCGCUAAUACCGCAUACGUCCUGAGGGAGAAAGUGGGGGAUCUUCGGACCUCACGCUAUCAGAUGAGCCUAGGUCGGAUUAGCUAGUUGGUGGGGUAAAGGCCUACCAAGGCGACGAUCCGUAACUGGUCUGAGAGGAUGAUCAGUCACACUGGAACUGAGACACGGUCCAGACUCCUACGGGAGGCAGCAGUGGGGAAUAUUGGACAAUGGGCGAAAGCCUGAUCCAGCCAUGCCGCGUGUGUGAAGAAGGUCUUCGGAUUGUAAAGCACUUUAAGUUGGGAGGAAGGGCAGUAAGUUAAUACCUUGC
rnacentral:rRNA from 1 species